rnacentral:rRNA from 1 species
UGGGGAAUUUUGGACAAUGGGCGAAAGCCUGAUCCAGCAAUGCCGCGUGUGUGAAGAAGGCCUUCGGGUUGUAAAGCACUUUUGUCCGGAAAGAAAUCCUUGGCUCUAAUACAGUCGGGGGAUGACGGUACCGGAAGAAUAAGCACCGGCUAACUACGUGCCAGCAGCCGCGGUAAUACGUAGGGUGCAAGCGUUAAUCGGAAUUACUGGGCGUAAAGCGUGCGCAGGCGGUUUGCUAAGACCGAUGUGAAAUCCCCGGGCUCAACCUGGGAACUGCACUGGUGACUGGCAGGCUAGAGUAUGGCAGAGGGGGGUAGAAUUCCACGUGUAGCAGUGAAAUGCGUAGAGAUGUGGAGGAAUACCGAUGGCGAAGGCAGCCCCCUGGGCCAAAUACUGACGCUCAUGCACGAAGGCGUGGGGAGCAAACAGGAUUAGAUACCCUGGUAGUCCACGCCCUAAACGAUGUCAACUAGUUGUUGGGGAUUCAUUUCCUUAGUAACGUAGCUAACGCGUGAAGUUGACCGCCUGGGGAGUACGGUCGCAAGAUUAAAACUCAAAUGAAUUGACGGGGUCAUAGCUGUUUCCU